rnacentral:sRNA from 1 species
AUGCUCAAAAGUGGUGAAAUAGUAACUUUUCUGAUAUGUAUAUCCCAAACAGGAAUCGACUUGGUAGGGCUGACCGGAAUGAAACUCAGCUUGAAAGUGGAGACUUUUGGGGGUCCUUGCUUCCUAGACAAAUUUUGAGAAUAAAUUUGGUCGAGUUGCAGCAGUUCCUGCCUCAGUCUCUCACAUGUCAGGCAAUUUGAUACUUCAAUUGCAUACACCAGACACUACGGGAUGAUGUGAUUGGUCUAUGCAGGCUGUCAUGGGAUGUCUUCAAGAGGAUAGGAUGUGCACCGCCUCAUGCAGAAU